rnacentral:tRNA from 1 species
GUCAGGAUAGCAGAGGACUAAAAAUCCUCGUGUCACCAGUUCAAAUCUGGUUCCUGGCA